rnacentral:rRNA from 1 species
GAUGAACGCUGGCGGCGUGCCUAAUACAUGCAAGUCGAGCGAACAGACGAGGAGCUUGCUCCUCUGACGUUAGCGGCGCACGGGUGAGUAACACGUGUAUAACCUACCUAUCAUACUGGGAUAACUUCGGGAAACCGGAGCUUAUACCGGAUAAGAUAUUGCACCGCAUGGUUCAAUAGUGAAAGUCGGUUUUGCUGUCACUUAUAGAUGCAUCCGCGCGGCUUUGGCUAGUUGGUAAGGUAACGGCUUACCAAGGCAACGAUGCGUAGCCGACGUGAGAGAGUGAUAGCCGACACUGGACGUGAGCCGCGGUCAAGAGUCCUGCGGUACGCAGCAGUCGGGAACGUGCCGCAAUGGGCGAGAGUAUGACGGAGCAGCGGGGCGUGAGUGAUAGCAGUGUUGGGAUCGUAAAGCUGUGUUAUUAGUGAAGAACAAAUGUGUACGUAGCUGUGCAGGUAUUGACGGUAACGAAUCAGAAAGCCACGGCUAACUACGUG